rnacentral:rRNA from 1 species
UACGGAGGAUCCAAGCGUUAUCCGGAUUCAUUGGGUUUAAAGGGUGCGUAGGCGGAAUGAUAAGUCAGUGGUGAAAUCUCGGAGCUUAACUCCGAAACUGCCAUUGAUACUGUCAAUCUUGAGUACAUUUGAUGUGGGCGGAAUGUGUCAUGUAGCGGUGAAAUGCUUAGAUAUGACACAGAACACCGAUUGCGAAGGCAGCUCACAAAAACUGUAACUGACGCUGAGGCACGAAAGCGUGGGGAGCAAACAGG